rnacentral:rRNA from 1 species
GACCUCGGAUCAGGUAGGGAUACCCGCUGAACUUAAGCAUAUCAAUAAGCGGAGGAAAAGAAACCAACAGGGAUUGCCUCAGUAACGGCGAGUGAAGCGGCAACAGCUCAAAUUUGAAAUCUGGCCUUCGGGUCCGAGUUGUAAUUUGCGGAGGAUGCUUCGAGCAUGGUCUAGUCUAAGUUCCUUGGAAUAGGACGUCAUAGAGGGUGAGAAUCCCGUAUGCGACUGGGUGCCUAAGCUCAUGUGAAGCUCCUUCGACGAGUCGAGUUGUUUGGGAAUGCAGCUCAAAAUGGGUGGUAAAUUUCAUCUAAAGCUAAAUAUUGGCCAGAGACCGAUAGCGCACAAGUAGAGUGAUCGAAAGAUGAAAAGCACUUUGGAAAGAGAGUUAAAUAGCACGUGAAAUUGUUGAAAGGGAAGCGCUUGCAAUCAG